rnacentral:rRNA from 1 species
UGGGGAAUAUUGCACAAUGGAGGGAACUCUGAUGCAGCGACGCCGCGUGAACGAAGAAGGCUUUCGAGUCGUAAAGUUCUUUUAUAUGGGAAGAUAAUGACGGUACCAUAAGAAAAAGCCCCGGCUAACUACGUGCCAGCAGCCGCGGUAAUACGUAGGGGGCUAGCGUUGUCCGGAAUCACUGGGCGUAAAGGGUUCGCAGGCGGAAAUGCAAGUCAGAUGUAAAAGGCAGUAGCUUAACUACUGUAAGCAUUUGAAACUGCAUAUCUUGAGAAGAGUAGAGGUAAGUGGAAUUUUUAGUGUAGCGGUGAAAUGCGUAGAUAUUAAAAAGAAUACCGGUGGCGAAGGCUACUUACUGGGCUCAUUCUGACGCUGAGGAACGAAAGCGUGGGUAGCAAACAGG